GGGGGCAUAGCAUAAUCUGGUUAGUGUAGCCGGUUCCAGACCGGCUGAUCGGGGUUCAAAUCCCUGUGUCCCCA
rnacentral:tRNA from 1 species